rnacentral:rRNA from 1 species
UACGUAGGGGCAAGCGUUGUCCGGAAUUAUUGGGCGUAAAGCGCGCGCAGGCGGUCCUUUAAGUCUGAUGUGAAAGCCCACGGCUUAACCGUGGAGGGUCAUUGGAAACUGAGGGACUUGAGUACAGAAGAGGAGAGUGGAAUUCCACGUGUAGCGGUGAAAUGCGUAGAGAUGUGGAGGAACACCAGUGGCGAAGGCGACUCUCUGGUCUGUAACUGACGCUGAGGUGCGAAAGCGUGGGGAUCAAACAGGAUUAGAUACCCUGGUA